GCGGGCGUAGUUCAAUGGUAGAACGAGAGCUUCCCAAGCUCUAUACGAGGGUUCGAUUNCCCUNUCGCCCGCUCCA
rnacentral:tRNA from 1 species